UAUCUCUGUAGAGUCUGCAUAUCAAUAAGCGGAGGAAAAGAAACUAACAAGGAUUCCCCUAGUAACGGCGAGUGAAGCGGGAAGAGCUCAAAUUUGAAAUCUUAAAGGGUUUCCCUUUACGAAUUGUAGUUUAAAGAAGUGUUUUCUGUUGAGGUUUUGGUAAAAGUUCUUUGGAAUAGGACAUCAUAGAGGGUGAGAAUCCCGUAUUUGACCAUUACUUUCCAACUUUGUGAUACACUUUCAAAGAGUCGGAUUGUUUGGGAAUGCAGUCCAAAAUGGGUGGUAAAUUUCAUCUAAAGCUAAAUAUUGGCGAGAGACCGAUAGCGAACAAGUACCGUGAGGGAAAGAUGAAAAGAACUUUGAAAAGAGAGUUAAACAGUACGUGAAAUUGUCAAAAGGGAAGCGUUUGACACCAGUGUUGUUUUCUCGAAAAUCAAUUAAAGAAAGCUAGAUUUAUGUAAGUUGUAUUAGACUUUAUCAGCUAUUCUGCCUCUUUUCUUGUCUUUUUUAAUGCACUUUUCAGUUAACAAGUCAACAUCAAUUUCUUUUGUUGUAAAAAGGGUCAUUGGAAGGUGGCUUGCGAUUUCGUAUAAGUGUUUAUAGCCUCUUGCCUAUGCAGUCGGAGAGAUUGAGGUCUGCAGCGUAGAUCCUUCGGGGCUAAAUGCAUUUGUGCUAAGUUAUAGCAUUUUAUAGACAACUUGUUGACUAUGAUUUGUCUUGUAGCUUACUCGCUUAUGUUAUUUUACCUACGCUUAGGAUGUUGACGAUCAGCUGAGCGCG
rnacentral:rRNA from 1 species